rnacentral:rRNA from 1 species
AAGACGCGGAUAAUCCCGGGAAACUGGGGCUAAUACGCGAUAGAUUCAAAGUUCUGGAAUGGCUUUGAAUCCAAAGGGCUGAAAGAGCAUGCUUCUUCAGUCGCUUCAAGAUGGGACUGCGGCCGAUCAGGUAGUUGGCGGGGUAAUGGCCCACCAAGCCUAUAACCGGUGCGGGCUCUGAGAGGAGGAGCCCGGAGAUGGACACUGAGACAAGGGUCCAGGCCCUACGGGGCGCAGCAGGCGCGAAACCUUCACAAUGCGCGAAAGCGCGAUGAGGCUAUACCGAGUGUCAUCCGCUGAGGGUGACUUUUCCUCGAUCUAUAACAUCGAGGGAAUAAGGGGAGGGCAAGCCUGGUGUCAGCCGCCGCGGUAAUACCAGCUCCCCGAGUGGUCGGGACGAUUAUUGGGCCUAUAGCAUCCGUAGCCGGCUUCACAGGUCUCUUGUAAAUCCAACGGCUCAACCGUUGGACUGCAGGGGAUACCAUGGAGCUAGGGGGCGGGAGAGGCGGACGGUACUCCAUGGGUAGGGGUAAAAUCCUUUGAUCCAUGGAAGACCACCAGUGGCGAAGGCGGUCCGCUAGAACGCGCCCGACGGUGAGGGAUGAAAGCUGGGGGAGCGAACCGGAUUAGAUACCCGGGUAGUCCCAGCCGUAAACGAUGCAGGCUAGGUGAUAGAGAGGCUAUACGCCUUUCUAGUGCCGCAGGGAAGCCGAUAAGCCUGCCGCCUGGGGAGUACGGCCGCAAGACUGAAACUUAAAGGAAUUGGCGGGGGAGCACCACAAGGGGUGAAGCCUGCGGUUCAAUUGGAGUCAACGCCGGAAACCUUACCAAGGGUGACAGCAGGAUGAAGGUCACUCUAAAGAAAUUACCAGACGAGCUGAGAGGAGGUGCAUGGCCGUCGCCAGCUCGUGCCGUGAGGCGUCCUGUUAAGUCAGGAAACGAGCGAGACCCCCACUGCAAGUUGCUAUCAUUACCCGAAAGGGUGAUGGGGCUAAUUUGCAGGACCGCCAUCGCUAAGACGGAGGAAGGAGGGGGCCACGGCAGGUCAGUAUGCCCCGAAACCCUUGGGCCACACGCGGGCUGCAAUGAUAGGGACAACGGGCCCCGACCUCGAAAGAGGAAGGAAAUCCUCAAACCCUAUCCCAGUUAU